rnacentral:misc_RNA from 1 species
GAUGAAGAACGUAGUAAAAUGCGAUAAUUAAUGUGAAUUGCAGAAUUCAGUGAAUCAUCGAGUCUUUGAACGCACAUUGCGCCCCCUGGUAUUCCGUGGGGCAUGCCUGUUCGAGCGUCAUUUACCCCCUCAAGCUCCGCUUGGUGUUGGGCGUCUGUCCCGCUUCGCGCGCGGACUCGCCCCAAAGGUAUUGGCAGCGGUCGUGCCAGCUUCUCGCGCAGCACAUUGCGCUUCUCGAGGCACCGGUGGGCCCGCGUCCAUCAAGCUCACCCCCCCAGUUUGACCUCGGAUCAGGUAGGGAUACCCGCUGAACUUAAGCAUAUCAAUAAGCGGAGGA